rnacentral:lncRNA from 1 species
GUUCCUCCUUUUGAGUGAGUAAGCUGUUUUAUUGGGUUAUGAUGUAUUUUGUAAUUUAUGUGGUGGUGGCAUAUCAUAUGCUUUGACGAGUUGGGCAUGUUUACCAUGGUUACGGACCAGCUUUGUUUGCUCUCUAUAGCUGUCAUCCACAUCAUGACCAAGAGGGUCUUGAAGAGGAAAGGGUUUAUCUCAUAUUUCCAGUUAAUGGUUCAUCACUGAGGGACAUCAGAGCAGGUGCUCAAGGCAGGAGCCUCGAGGCAGGAACUGAAGCAGAGGCCAUGGAGGAGCUAUUUUUUUUUUUUUUUUUUUUGAGACAGGGUGUCUCUGUAUAGCCCUGGCUGUCCUGGAACUCACUUUGUAGACCAGGCUGGCCUCGAACUCAGAAAUCCGCCUACCUCUAGAGGAGCAGUAUUUAAGGAUCCAUUCUUCAUGGCUUGUUCAGCCUGCUUUCUUAUACAGCCCAGGACCCCCUACCCAAGAUGUGGUACCUUUCACAGGGGACCGGGGCCUUUACUAUCAAACAUUAACCAAGAAAAUGCUCCACAGACUUGCCUAUAGGCCAACCUGCUGGAAGCCUUUUCUCUGAUGAAGUUUCCUGUUCCCAGGUGACCCUGACUUGUGUCAAGAUGACAAAAAAACAGAACAAACCACCAACAAGCAAACACCCUAACCAGCACACUGGCUUUUCUGUCUGAGAAGAAACCUCCUCUCAAGGAUGCUGGUUGUUGACCAUCAACUCCACCAUUGGACCAGGUACAUUGAAGGUGGCUCCAAGUUGUCAUCCUCAUCUGCCCCUUGGCCUGUGUAUUAGUGACAUGUCUUCUUGGGUCUUCCUGCUUCAGCUACUCCAAUCCAGAAACUGCCUCGCAGACAAGCCCAGAGCCUCAUUCCCCAAACUCUGAGUUGACAAUCAAGAUUAAACACCUCACUCUGCCUGCUCAUCUGCACACCUUGCCUGAUAAUCUUUCUGGGGGAAGGUGAUUUUAAUGGGAGAUGAAAUUGCAGCCCAGUUGCAGCAGAAGACCCCAGGCAUUUUGGAGAUGCCAGUACCAUGGGAUGACCACCAAGAACAGCAGCUGUGGGGGAGUCUGCCAGCACCUAGCAGACAAGCUGUGCUUGCUGCAGAGGGCAGAGCCAGAAAGGUGACCCAAGCCCCUUGGAGGAGCCUAGAAGAUGAGGACAGCCAGCCCCAGUGAUCCAUCCUUACCUCAGAGUUCUCUCCUUCUGGUCCCUUCCUCUCCCUUCUCCCCUCCUCUUUUCCUUCCCUUCCUUCUUCCUCCUCCCCUCCCUCUUCCCCCUCCUCUCAAUUUCUUCUUCCUUCCUUCCCUUUCCUCUCUUCUUCCCUCCUCUCCUUCCUCAUCUUCUUCCUCUUUGUUUUCUUUUUUACAGGGUCUGUGGUUCAGGCUGACCUUGAAUUCCCCACCCACUCACCAUCCUCUUUCCUCCACCUUCUAAGUGCUUGGGUUACAGUUGUGUACCUACAGGCCCAGUGUAUGCAUUGUUAGAGAGUAAACUUGGCCCUGCAUGUUGGAAGCUAACACGCCACCAACUGAGCUCUACCCCCAGCCUGAAAGCAGUGUCUAUGAGCUUUUUUUUCUCUUUGACAGAAAGCCUAAAUCUUCCCCAGACCCCAUCUGAUUUGUUAUCUAAAUAAGCAUGUGGCCACCUUGGUUCCCACAGAGUCCAGCAUGAGUCUGCGACAUGAAGUCACAUCAGGAUACAUCUCCAGGUGGUCAACUAAGCAAUCAUGCUUAGCAAAGGUUGGAAGCUGGGACUGCCUUCGCCGGGGCUGCCACAGUGGCCAGAGGAGAUUUAUUACCGACUGCUAAGGAGUUAGUGGAUAUUAAUGUCUUCCAAUUGAAAAA